GAUGAACGCUGGCGGCGUGCCUAACACAUGCAAGUCGAGCGAUUCUCUUCGGAGAAGAGCGGCGGACGGGUGAGUAACGCGUGGGUAACCUGCCCUGUACACACGGAUAACAUACCGAAAGGUAUGCUAAUACGGGAUGAUAUGUUUUGAUCGCAUGGUCGAAAUAUCAAAGCUCCGGCGGUACAGGAUGGACCCGCGUCUGAUUAGCUAGUUGGUAAGGUAAUGGCUUACCAAGGCGACGAUCAGUAGCCGACCUGAGAGGGUGAUCGGCCACAUUGGAACUGAGACACGGUCCAAACUCCUACGGGAGGCAGCAGUGGGGAAUAUUGCACAAUGGGCGAAAGCCUGAUGCAGCAACGCCGCGUGAGCGAUGAAGGCCUUCGGGUCGUAAAGCUCUGUCCUCAAGGAAGAUAAUGACGGUACUUGAGGAGGAAGCCCCGGCUAACUACGUG
rnacentral:rRNA from 1 species